AUGGGCAUUUUUGUUCCUCAAUACAUAGCUUUGUGUGGAGUUACACUUGUGAUUGGAUGGCUUGUACAGUGGGUAUACAAAUGGAUUAACCCGGUUUGCAACGGGGUUCUUCCUCCUGGCUCCAUGGGAUUCCCUGUGAUUGGUGAGACCUUGGACUUCUUCAAGGCAAGCCCUUCCCUAGACAUCCCUGACUUGUACAAAGUAAGGAUGAAAAGGUACGGCCCGAUUUUCAAGACAAGCUUGCUGGGGCAGCGUGUGGUUAUUUCCACCAACCCGGAGAUGAAUCGGUUUAUCCUCCAGCAGGAAGACACAUUGUUCCGUAUUUGGUUCCCACGGGCACUGAAAAUAUUCGGGGAGAAGAGCCUGGAAGCCUUCCAUGGCAAAACCCACAAGUUCAUCCGAAGAUGCGCCCACACGCUGUUGGGUAUCCAGACUCUCAAAGAUGUGCUCCUUCCUGAGAUGGAGGCCGCUUUGAGAGAGCGCCUUGCCGCAUGGGCCACCAAGCCGAGCGUCGAUGUCCGCAGCGGUGCGCCCGACCUUCUGUUUGAGCUGGUGAUGAAGAAGUGCCUUGGUUUUGAUUCCACCAAGUCGGGACAACUGCGGAGCACGUUUGAUGUGCUUUUCACAGAGCUCUUAUCCUUUCCGAUAUAUUUUCCCGGGACAUCAUUUUACCGAUGCAUGCAGGCAAGGAAAAUUGUGCAGAAGACAGUCCGGGACACGUUGGCAGAGAGGUUAAGUGCACCAAGGAAUAAACAUGGCGACCUCCUUGACAUAAUUAUCGAAGAGCUGCGGGCUGAAGAGACAUCACUAAGUGAGAAUUUGGCUGUUGAUAUUGUCUCAGCGUUGUUGUUCGGCAGCGUCUUCACGCUAUCAGGAGUCAUCGCUGUAGCAUUCAAGUCACUCCAUGACAACCCAGACGUUGUCCAUGCCCUCGAGGUUCGUUGUGUUAAUUUCAUGGUAGUACUACUAUAUACUCAUUCCGUCUCAAAAUAA
rnacentral:rRNA from 1 species